AGCUUUAACCGAAGAAGAAACAAGCAGCUUUGCCUUUCUCCAUGGUUACCUGUGUGACAGACUGGGAGGAUACCUCGCUAAUUAAAUUAGAAUGAGGUCUGUUAUUUGAAGAAUGCUUAUUCAUACAAUUGGAAUGGAAGCAACGUCCUAUGGCUGGCUGACCGACCACAGAGAGUGCGUAAUUAGUCAGAGUGGGAGCCUGAAGCUGAUAUACUGACAUAAAAACAUUUACCUGUGCCUUUGUCUGAUGGUAAAAAUUAUGAAUACGGAUGGCAAAACUGGGAUCAGCUCUCUGCAAUUCAGAUGCAUAAAGUGCAUUACAUUUACAGGAAACAGUCUGUAAAAGUAGUAACGCAAAAUGAAUGUGUGUAUUAAUAUAUGUGGUGAUAACUUUUUCUUGUUGGCAAAUGAAAGCACUCUUGAUGGGAAACUUCUCAAAGUGGUGGGAUUUAAAGGGAUUGCUUAAUUUUAUAAAGAGUUUCUGUACAGACAUGCAUGCACACACAUUUUUUGGCAAGUUCUCAUGAGCUAUCUCCAUAUUCCAUCUGGCAGGGAUCAAGCCAUGAUCCUUUCUUUGUGUGCUGCUGCUCUAUUGUGGUGCAUUAACUCCAACACUGGGGGAAAAACACCCUGCAGUAGUGACUCCAUCCAGCCAACAUCCUGUGGCUUUUUGCAGUUUUCUUUCCGUGAGAUGUGGGAGAGGUGGCUGUAGAUGGAGGCUCUCCUGCAAAGCACUGGGAGAUCUGUUAGUUACUUUGCUCCUUAACAAAGUGAUGUGCUAGAGUGUAGUGUGGCUAUCACAAAGCAGUAGCAGCAAAUACUUUGGAAGUACACUGAGCGUGUGAGAGAGCAGGAAUGCCACCAUAUCACAGAACCAUUGGGGUUGAAAGGGACCUCUGGGGAUCACCAAGACCCCUACUAAAGCUGCUCCCUAGAGCAGGCUGCAGUGUGGCUGAGGAGAGGCGUUGGUUGAAACGGAGAGUCUUCAGGAAGGUAAUUGAUGUGUCCAACUGCCCUGUGUCCUCCCCACACAGAGUUUGUCUCUGGACUGUGUCCAUCAGCUAUAUUGUCUUCUGACACCAACAGUUAAAUAGGACCCAGAGAGUCAGUGGAAAUACUUGCAUGUCAUGGUGGUCAUCGAACCACCAUGGCCACCUCCUAUGAGCUCCUGGGUGCCUGCCCAGAACUGCAGCAGUGCUGGGGAUGUUUAAACACUUUUCAGAGACCCUAUGUGAACCAACGUUUGAUAUCCAAGGUUAUGAACAUUACAUGGGGUAUUUUCAAGUGUGCCUGGCUUGGAAAUUCUGUCUUGGUGACAAGUUAAAAAAAAGAACAAACAAUACAAAUUUGUAAAGCAGUCACAACGGUGAGCUCUGCACACUUCCAUAACAGGAGCUGUUUGAAGACCAUAGUGGGAGAAGGGAAAGCAGAGGCACAUGUGCCAAAAAGCAGAGCUGAGGGGCUCUGCCAUGAAGAAUGGCCGCUCUUUGGUGUGAGCUGUAAAAUACAUUUUAAUAUGAGUCGGAAAAAAAAAAGGGCCAAACAGAAUGAUGCCCUACAUAUAAUUCCGUGGAAACAGUAGAAAAACUUCCACAAAUAUGUAGUUCACCAUUUAGGUUACUUAAAUAGUCACAUUUAGGCAAAAGUGGAGAAUGAACACAAGGAAUCCAGGCAGUAGGGCAAGAAUAGUAUGGACUGUGCUGAAAUGUACACCUUCUUUCAGACAUGGCAGUGUCUAAGCAAGCAGAAACCUACAGACUCUCCCUGAGCUCGCACAUGGAGCUCUGUACAGCUUUCUGGUGCGGGUGCUCACCCUGUGAGCACAAUUAGUCUCUGCUGGCACCAUGCACUUAAUUACUGAAACAAAGGUGCUACAGUUUGAUCCUGGGAUUAUCGUGGGUUUGCUGCAGGAAACUUAAGUUACUGACUCUGGCUUGACGGCUUCUAGUAUGCUUUCUCAAUUAAGCUGUGCGUGCCCCCAAAUUAAAUAGCAAUUCAUAGCUGCUGCAAAUUGAUUUCCACCCAGGCUGUGGUUAGAGCUGCCAAAUGAAAUGUCGGAGAGGAGCAUGUUCUUAAUUUAGAAUAUUACACAGAUUUU
rnacentral:lncRNA from 7 species